UUGACCCGGCGAUGUCCGAAUGGGGAAACCCAGUGCAAUCCGUUGCACUAUCGUUAACUGAAUACAUAGGUUAACGAGGCGAACCGGGGGAACUGAAACAUCUAAGUACCCCGAGGAAAAGAAAUCAACCGAGAUUCCCCCAGUAGCGGCGAGCGAACGGGGAGCAGCCCGGAGUCUGAAUCAGCUUGUGUGUUAGUGGAACGGUCUGGAAAGUCCGACGGUACAGGGUGAUAGUCCCGUACACGAAAAUGCACAUGCUGUGAACUCGAAGAGUAGGGCGGGACACGUGGUAUCCUGUCUGAAUAUGGGGGGACCAUCCUCCAAGGCUAAAUACUCCUGACUGACCGAUAGUGAACCAGUACCGUGAGGGAAAGGCGAAAAGAACCCCGGCGAGGGGAGUGAAAAAGAACCUGAAACCGUGUACGUACAAGCAGUGGGAGCCUCUUUAUGGGGUGACUGCGUACCUUUUGUAUAAUGGGUCAGCGACUUAUAUUCUGUAGCAAGGUUAACCGUAUAGGGGAGCCGAAGGGAAACCGAGUCUUAACUGGGCGUUAAGUUGCAGGGUAUAGACCCGAAACCCGGUGAUCUAGCCAUGGGCAGGUUGAAGGUUGGGUAACACUAACUGGAGGACCGAACCGACUAAUGUUGAAAAAUUAGCGGAUGACCUGUGGCUGGGGGUGAAAGGCCAAUCAAACCGGGAGAUAGCUGGUUCUCCCCGAAAGCUAUUUAGGUAGCGCCUCGUGAACUCAUCUUCGGGGGUAGAGCACUGUUUCGGCUAGGGGGCCAUCCCGGCUUACCAACCCGAUGCAAACUACGAAUACCGAAGAAUGUUAUCACGGGAGACACACGGCGGGUGCUAACGUCCGUCGUGAAGAGGGAAACAACCCAGACCGCCAGCUAAGGUCCCAAAGUCAUGGUUAAGUGGGAAACGAUGUGGGAAGGCACAGACAGCCAGGAUGUUGGCUUAGAAGCAGCCAUCAUUUAAAGAAAGCGUAAUAGCUCACUGGUCGAGUCGGCCUGCGCGGAAGAUGUAACGGGGCUAAACCAUGCACCGAAGCUGCGGCAGCGACACUAUGUGUUGUUGGGUAGGGGAGCGUUCUGUAAGCCGUUGAAGGUGUGCUGUGAGGCAUGCUGGAGGUAUCAGAAGUGCGAAUGCUGACAUAAGUAACGAUAAAGCGGGUGAAAAGCCCGCUCGCCGGAAGACCAAGGGUUCCUGUCCAACGUUAAUCGGGGCAGGGUGAGUCGACCCCUAAGGCGAGGCCGAAAGGCGUAGUCGAUGGGAAACAGGUUAAUAUUCCUGUACUUGGUGUUACUGCGAAGGGGGGACGGAGAAGGCUAUGUCAGCCGGGCGACGGUUGUCCCGGUUUAAGCAUGUAGGCGGAGGU
rnacentral:rRNA from 1 species